rnacentral:tRNA from 1 species
GUUGAUUUGGCAGAAGAAUAUUUAUGCAUUAGAUUUAGAAUCCAAUUAUAUAAUUAGAAUUAUAUUCAAUA